rnacentral:rRNA from 1 species
GACGAACGCUGGCGGCGUGCCUAACACAUGCAAGUCGAACGGACAUAAGAUCUUCGGAACUUAUGUUAGUGGCGGACGGGUGAGUAACGCGUGAGCAACCUGCCUAACAGAGGGGGAUAACGUUUGGAAACAGACGCUAAUACCGCAUAACAUAUGUUUGUCGCAUGGCAGACAUAUCAAAGGAGCAAUCCGCUGAUAGAUGGGCUCGCGUCCGAUUAGAUAGUUGGUGGGGUAAUGGCCUACCAAGUCUGCGAUCGGUAGCCGGACUGAGAGGUUGAACGGCCACAUUGGGACUGAGACACGGCCCAGACUCCUACGGGAGGCAGCAGUGGGGGAUAUUGCACAAUGGGCGAAAGCCUGAUGCAGCAACGCCGCGUGAGGGAAGACGGUUUUCGGAUUGUAAACCUCUGUCUUUGGUGAAGAAAAAAAUGACG